UGAGGAAUUUUCCGCAAUGGGUGAAAGCCUGACGGAGCAAUGCCGCGUGAAGGAAGAAGGCCUUCGGGUUGUAAACUUCUUUUCUCAUAGAAGAAAGAAUGACGGUAUAUGAGGAAUAAGCAUCGGCUAAUUCCGUGCCAGCAGCCGCGGUAAUACGGGAGAUGCGAGCGUUAUCCGGAAUUAUUGGGCGUAAAGAGUUUGUAGGUGGUCGAGUAUGUUUAAUGUUAAAUACCAAAGCUUAACUUUGGGAAAGCAUUAAAAACUGCAAGGCUGGAGUAUGGUAGAGGUAAAGGGAAUUUCCAGUGUAGCGGUGAAAUGCGUAGAUAUUGGAAAGAACACCAAAGGCGAAGGCACUUUACUAGGCCAAUACUGACACUGAGAAACGAAAGCUAAGGUAGCA
rnacentral:rRNA from 1 species